AUUCACACUUAUGUCAUGUGAAACCUUCCUGCUUCAGUGAGAAGGAACCAGAACUGCAGAGUGGGUCACGGAUCUCUAAUAGGAACCAGACAGAAGCUGAGCUAACUGACCACCGGAGGCAGCAGUGGACUUCCCGGUGUGAACCCACCCUCGUGUAGACCCCACGGUCAGGAGCAGAAGAGUGACCUCCACCUCUGUGGAUCAUCAUCUCAGGCGUCCAGUCGUCUAGCUGAUGAGAAAAGCUCCAAAGAAGCUGCUCUUCUCGUCCAUGUCCACGGCAGAGGCGUUGGUCACCGUGACAAACAAUCGAUCGCCAGCGCUGAGAGGAAACAGCCCCCCCUGGUGGGCGGAGUGUAGAGAGAACUGGGAGCCCUGGGACCAGCAGGACGUUCGACUGGUUUUCAUCAGCAGGAUGGGAACAGGGUAGGAGCUGAGCUGUGGAGGAGGAGACGGGGAGAACGUACAGCUCAGUGAAGUGUUGUGUUGUCAAGGAAACAAAAGGAGGCGACGACAGUGAAGACGACAGCAUCAUUUGUUUUCCCAUGUGAACAGAAAAGUGGAGCUGCUGAGUGAGAAAAGACAGAGCAGAAGGAGGAGGAGGAGGAGGAGGAAGAGGAAGAGAAGGAGGGUAACCUGGGAAAAUAAACGAUGGCAGCAACAACAGAGUGUGUGUGUGUGUGUGUGUGUGUGUGUGUGUGUGUGUGUGUGCGGAGGUGAAUGCAUUCCUGCACUGAUUAAAUGACCCAGGAUCACCUCCCGUCAUGAAGGAGCUCAUUGUGUCUCCACUGACACUAAUUUCAAUCUCUUUCUUUCUUUUUCAGCUGAGACCAGAACAGAAUUCCACUGCAGCUCAAACCAACGAUGGUCCUGGAAUUAGGAAUUAUGACGACAGAAAACUGAUAGAAUGUCCUGCCUGUAGGUCACACACAGAGUCUGUCUCUAAAAAGUUAUGUUUCAGCUUAAAUGUUAUCUCAGUUAAAGCUAAAAAAAAAGCCAUGAGCUAAAAGGUAGCCUAGAAGAAGCUAAUGCUCCACUGACCAAACCAGACAAAUAACCACACUCACCUGAGUUAGUGCUAAGAGUUAGCCAAAGCUAUCACUAAUAUUCGAUUCCUGGAAGCUCAUAAAAGACAAACUGGAUUUAGUUUGAAGUUCAUGUCCUCCUCUGUGUGUGAGUCUGGAGAUGAAGAAACGCCUUCAAACAACAAUGUGAUAAUUAUUAUAAUUCUAUUCAUUAUAAUCGUUAUUUUCUUCAUCACACAAAAGGUGCUACGUUUCCUCAUACGCCCGUGUCCUCAUUUCUUUUCUGUGGUGUCCUAAGGGGGGACCCAGAGCCGAGGUUGAGUCUGGAGAAAGAUCUGCAUCUGCUGUGGUAGAGAAGAAGAGGCGCAGACCAACAGUCUGAUGGGUUUCUGAAGAGUCAGACUGUGGAGUUUCUUUUCUCCAGAAGUCUUUGCUCAGUUUUUACU